CUCCUACGGGAGGCAGCAGUGGGGAAUAUUGCACAAUGGGCGCAAGCCUGAUGCAGCCAUGCCGCGUGUGUGAAGAAGGCCUUCGGGUUGUAAAGCACUUUCAGCGGGGAGGAAGGCGUUAAGGUUAAUAACCUUGGCGAUUGACGUUACCCGCAGAAGAAGCACCGGCUAACUCCGUGCCAGCAGCCGCGGUAAUACGGAGGGUGCAAGCGUUAAUCGGAAUUACUGGGCGUAAAGCGCACGCAGGCGGUCUGU
rnacentral:rRNA from 1 species